UGAGUAGGCGGUUGCAUAUGUCAGAUGUAAAAGGCACAGGCUUAACUUGUGUUAGCAUUUGAAACUGUGCGACUUGAGUGCAGGAGAGGUAGGUGGAAUUCCUAGUGUAGCGGUGAAAUGCGUAGAUAUUAGGAGGAACACCAGUGGCGAAGGCGACUUACUGGACUGUAACUGACGCUGAGUCACGAAAGCGUGGGUAGCAAACA
rnacentral:rRNA from 1 species